rnacentral:lncRNA from 1 species
CCUCUUAACCCUAGCCGCAACCCCCUCUCACUCUCUCCCCAGCAGCCCCCUCUCCCUAAGAAGUGUCUAUCACAGUUCCAAGUUCCAACAGCAGUGGCUCCGCCAAUCCCAGAUACCAAGAAACAAGAAUACAAAUUGCUUAGGAUGAUUGAGAGGUUGAUUAAUGUGGUGGUCUUAGCAGGAGGGGAAGCAGCAGUAAAGGACAAAACCUUGGUGGCAUAAUGGAAUCGAGAAUUCACCCAGCAAGCAUAAAGGGAUGGAAUCAGGGCAAGAACUAUAGCAAUGACGCCUAUUGUU